AGUGAACGCUGGCGGUAGGCCUAACACAUGCAAGUCGAACGGCAGCACAGUAAGAGCUUGCUCUUACGGGUGGCGAGUGGCGGACGGGUGAGGAAUACAUCGGAAUCUACUUUUUCGUGGGGGAUAACGUAGGGAAACUUACGCUAAUACCGCAUACGACCUACGGGUGAAAGCAGGGGAUCUUCGGACCUUGCGCGAUUGAAUGAGCCGAUGUCGGAUUAGCUAGUUGGCGGGGUAAAGGCCCACCAAGGCGACGAUCCGUAGCUGGUCUGAGAGGAUGAUCAGCCACACUGGAACUGAGACACGGUCCAGCCUCCUACGGGAGGCAGCAGUGGGGAAUAUUGGACAAUGGGCGCAAGCCUGAUCCAGCUAUACCGCGUGGGUGAAGAAGGCCUUCGGGUUGUAAAGCCCUUUUGUUGGGAAAGAAAAGCAGCAGGUUAAUACCCCGCUGUUCUGACGGGACCCAAAGAAUAAGCACCGGCGAACUUCGC
rnacentral:rRNA from 1 species